rnacentral:lncRNA from 1 species
GCUUCACACUGUCUUGAUCAAGAGUGUGUGAAGCUUUUGAGAAUUGUGGUUGAACUCCUUUGAUGAAGCUUUUAUUGGCACCAUAAAUUGGUUUUGCUUCACACUGCCUUGAUCAAGAGUGUGUGAAGCUUUUGAGAAUUGUGGUUGAACUCUUUUGAUAAAGCUUUUGUUGGCACCAUAAAUUGGUUUUGCUUCACACUGUCUUGAUCAAGAGUGUGUGAAGCUUUUUAGAAUUGUGGUUGCCCCGCCAUUGAUGAAGCUCUUGUUGGCACCAUAAAUUGGUUUUGCUUAACACUGUCUUAAUCAAGAGUGUGUGAAGCUUUUGAGAAUUGUGGUUGCCCUCCAUUGAUGAAGCUUUUAUUGGCACUAUAAAUUGGUUUUGCUUCACACUGUCUUGAUCAAGAGUGUGUGAAGCUUUUGAGAAUUGUGGUUGAACUCAUUUGAUGAAGCUCUUGUUGGCACCAUAAAUUGGUUUUGUUUCACACUGUCUUGAUCAAGAAUGUGAAACUUUCUACGAGUUGUAUUGUUUGCAUUGUUACAGAGGGGAAAUGUCUGAACCAGAUGCAAGAUGGUUGAAUAGCUUGAUCUUCGUAUGCCAUGCACUGAAGUUGUUGUUGGCUUGCAAUUAGACUUUGUUGGUAACUAUAACUCUUGUUGGGCAUAAGUGCUCCCCUAGUUGAGUUGUCAAGCUUGAGGGUUUUUGAUUAUUUGUGAAUGCUAGGAGUUCACAUGUACAAGGUGUACCACUCGUCUUCUGGUAGGUGGAAUGAAUGAUGAGUUGCUUUCAUCACUUGGUUGGUGGUACGAAGGUGAGUUCUUUCAUCACCUUUCAUCACAUUUCAUCACCUGGUUAAUGGCACGAGGAUGAGUUCCUUCUUCACCUGGUUGGUGGCAUGAAGAUGAGUUCCUUCUUCACCUGGUUGGUGGCAUGAGUGGGAAGUUGCCAAAUGAUAUUAGAGUAUGGGUUGUACAUUUUAUCACCUGGUUGGUGGCAUGGAGGAGAGUACGGGUUGUACAUUUCAUCACGUGGAUGUGGCAUAAAGAUAAGUUCCUUCUUCACCUGGUUAGUGACAUGAGUGGUAAGUUGCCAAAUGAUAUUAGAGUACAGGUUGUACAUUUCAUCACCUGGUUGGUGGCAUGAAGGAGAGUACGGGUUGUACAUUUCAUCACCUGGUUUAGGGUUUAGGUAUGAAUGUGUUGGAAUAUAUGAUGUUUAUGUAUGAAUGUGUUGGAAUGUAUAAUGUUUAUGUUGAUUGAUAUGAGUGAUGCUUAUGAAUGUUUUGCUAUGCAUGAAGGGAUUCAUGUUUUUGACAUGUGAACCAUGUUGGUUGUAACACUUAGUAUCACAUACUUUGCGUCAAAGUACACAUGCUGAAGCUCUGAGUUGGAGUAUAAGGGUAGGUCAGCGUAGAAUAAAUGUUCCAGUGCUAGGAACGGAAAAGACUCAGAAGAAGUUGUCUGAAUUCUCUCUUCUUUAAAUAUUUUCUGAAUGGCUUGUGUGACAAAAGAUCUCAAGCGGUUGAGAGUCAAAGAAUUUGUAAUGUGUAUGUCUUCUUAUAAUAGCAUUUUCUUCAGUAUUUAGUCAUCCACUUUGAAAGAGUGAGGCUUGGCCCCAUAGUCAUAAUAGUUGACGGUACGUUCACCCUUGGUUAUCUUGAUACGAACUUUUAUCCCUCUUGUUGUAAUGGGCUUGCUGAGAGUAAAAAUCAUUCCUCUUACCAAGAGACAGAUACGUUUGGUGACUUAGCGAGUAGCUAAAUGAGGCAUGAGAUGAUGCAAUGGGUGUCUGAAUAGCCAAUAUCUCCUCACUUGGUAGAACUUAACUUCCACUUCCUAUUUGUUGAUAGGGGUUAACCAUAUGGAG